rnacentral:rRNA from 1 species
UACGUAGGGUGCGAGCGUUAAUCGGAAUUACUGGGCGUAAAGCGUGCGCAGGCGGUUUGGUAAGACAGGCGUGAAAUCCCCGGGCUCAACCCGGGAACUGCGUCCGAUACUGGAAGGCUUGAAUCCGGGAGAGGGAUGCGGAAUUCCAGGUGUAGCGGUGAAAUGCGCAGAUAUCAGGAGGAACACCGGUGGCGAAGGCGGGUCUCUGGGCAGUAACUGACGCUGAGGAGCGAAAGCGUGGGGAGCGAACAGG